rnacentral:rRNA from 1 species
UACGAAGGGUGCAAACGUUGCUCGGAAUUAUUGGGCGUAAAGCGCGCGUAGGCGGCUUGGCAAGUCGGAUGUGAAAUCCCUCGGCUCAACUGAGGAAGUGCAUCCGAAACUGGCAGGCUUGAGUACUAAAGAGGGUCGCGGAAUUCCCGGUGUAGAGGUGAAAUUCGUAGAUAUCGAGAGGAACACCUGCGGCGAAGGCGGGUUGCUGGGCUGACACUGACGCUGAACUGCGAAAGCUAGGGGAGCGAACGGG